GACGAACGCUGGCGGCGUGCUUAACACAUGCAAGUCGAGCGGUAAGGCCCUUUCGGGGUACGACGAGCGGCGAACGGGUGAGUAACACGUGGGUGACCUGCCCUCAGCUCUGGGAUAAGCCUGGGAAACCGGGUCUAAUACCGGAUAUGACUCCAUGACGCAUGUUGUGGGGUGGAAAGCCUUGUGCGGCUGAGGAUGGGCCCGCGGCCUAUCAGCUUGUUGGUGGGGUGANGGCCUACCAAGGCGACGACGGGUAGCCGGCCUGAGAGGGCGACCGGCCACACUGGGACUGAGACACGGCCCAGACUCCUACGGGAGGCAGCAGUGGGGAAUCUUGCGCAAUGGGCGAAAGCCUGACGCAGCGACGCCGCGUGAGGGAUGACGGCC
rnacentral:rRNA from 1 species